GAUGAACGCUGGCGGCGUGCCUAAUACAUGCAAGUCGAGCGAACAGACGAGGAGCUUGCUCCUCUGACGUUAGCGGCGGACGGGUGAGUAACACGUGGAUAACCUACCUAUAAGACUGGGAUAACUUCGGGAAACCGGAGCUAAUACCGGAUAAUAUAUUGAACCGCAUGGUUCAAUAGUGAAAGACGGUUUUGCUGUCACUUAUAGAUGGAUCCGCGCCGCAUUAGCUAGUUGGUAAGGUAACGGCUUACCAAGGCGACGAUGCGUAGCCGACCUGAGAGGGUGAUCGGCCACACUGGAACUGAGACACGGUCCAGACUCCUACGGGAGGCAGCGGUAGAGAAUCUUCCGCAAUGCGCGAAAGCCUGACGGAGCAACGCCGCGUGAGUGAUGAAGGUCUUCGGAUCGUAAAACUCUGUUAUUAGGGAAGAAGAAAUGUGUAAGUAACUAUGCACGUCUUGACGGUACCUAAUCAGAAAGCCACGGCUAACUACGUG
rnacentral:rRNA from 1 species